GGCGGCNUGCUUAACACAUGCAAGUCGAACGAUGAAGCCCAGCUUGCGUGUGGAUUAGUGGCGAACGGGUGAGUAACACGUGAGUAACCUGCCCUUAACUCUGGGAUAAGCCUGNNAAACUGGGUCUAAUACCGGAUAGGAGCGUCCACCGCAUGGUGGUGUUGGAAAGAUUUAUCGGUUUUGGAUGGACUCGCGGCCUAUCAGCUUGUUGGUGAGGUAAUGGCUCACCAAGGCGACGACGGGUAGCCGGCCUGAGAGGGUGACCGGCCACACUGGGACUGAGACACGGCCCAGACUNCUACGGGAGGCAGCAGUGGGGAAUAUUGCACAAUGGGCGCAAGCCUGAUGCAGCGACGCCGCGUGAGGGAUGACGGCNUUCGGGUUGUAAACCUCUUUCAGUAGGGAAGAAGCGAAAGUGACGGUACCUGCAGAAGAAGCACCGGCUAACUACGUGCCAGCAGCCGCGGUAAUACGUAGGGUGCGAGCGUUAUCCGGAAUUAUUGGGCGUAAAGAGCUCGUAGGCGGUUUGUCGCGUCUGUCGUGAAAGNUCGGGGCUUAACCCCGGAUCUGCGGUGGGUACGGGCAGUCUAGAGUGCAGUAGGGA
rnacentral:rRNA from 1 species